rnacentral:rRNA from 1 species
AACGAACGCUGGCGGCAUGCCUAACACAUGCAAGUCGAACGAGACCUUCGGGUCUAGUGGCGCACGGGUGCGUAACGCGUGGGAACCUGCCCUUAGGUUCGGAAUAACUCCCCGAAAGGGGUGCUAAUACCGGAUAAUGUCUUCGGACCAAAGAUUUAUCGCCUUUGGAUGGGCCCGCGUUGGAUUAGCUAGUUGGUAGGGUAAAAGCCUACUAAGGCGACGAUCCAUAGCUGGUCUGAGAGGAUGAUCAGCCACACUGGGACUGAGACACGGCCCAGACUCCUACGGGAGGCAGCAGUGGGGAAUAUUGGACAAUGGGCGAAAGCCUGAUCCAGCAUGCCGCGUGAGUGAUGAAGGCCUUAGGGUUGUAAAGCUCUUUUACCCGGGAUGAUAAUGACAGUACCGGGAGAAUAAGCUCCGGCUAACUCCGU